GACGAACGCUGGCGGCGUGCUUAACACAUGCAAGUCGAACGGAAAGGCCCUGCUUUUGUGGGGUGCUCGAGUGGCGAACGGGUGAGUAACACGUGAGUAACCUGCCCUUGACUUUGGGAUAACUUCAGGAAACUGGGGCUAAUACCGGAUAGGAGCUCCUGCUGCAUGGUGGGGGUUAGAAAGUUUCGGCGGUUGGGGAUGGACUCGCGGCUUAUCAGCUUGUUGGUGGGGUAGUGGCUUACCAAGGCUUUGACGGGUAGCCGGCCUGAGAGGGUGACCGGCCACAUUGGGACUGAGAUACGGCCCAGACUCCUACAGGAGGCAGCAGUGGGGAAUAUUGCACAAUGGGCGGAAGCCUGAUGCAGCAACGCCGCGUGCGGGAUGACGGCCUUCGGGUUGUAAACCGCUUUCGCCUGUGACGAAGCGUGAGUGACGGUAAUGGGUAAAGAAGCACCGGCUAACUACGUG
rnacentral:rRNA from 1 species